rnacentral:rRNA from 1 species
CACGCUGGCGGCGUGCCUCAGACAUGCAAGUCGAACGAUUAAGGCUCUCUUCGGAGAGUGUAUAGAGUGGCGCACGGGUGAGUAACACGUAAGUAAUCUACCCUCGAGUGGGGAAUAACAACCGGAAACGGUUGCUAAUACCGCAUAAUGCAGCGGCACCGCAAGGUGACAGUUGUUAAAGAUUUAUCGCUUGAGGAGGAGCUUGCGGCAGAUUAGCUAGUUGGUAGGGUAACGGCUUACCAAGGCUACGAUCUGUAACCGGUCUAAGAGGACGGUCGGUCACACUGACACUGAAUAACGGGUCAGACUCCUACGGGAGGCAGCAGUCGGGAAUUUUGGGCAAUGGGCGAAAGCCUGACCCAGCAACGCCGCGUGAAGGAUGAAGUAUUUCGGUAUGUAAACUUCGAAAGAAUAGGAAGAAUUAAUGACGGUACUAUUUAUAAGGUCCGGCUAACUACGUG